rnacentral:rRNA from 1 species
GGGGGGGGGGGGGGGGGGGCGGGGGGCGUGGGGGUCGGGGGGCCGGGCGAGGCGCGUGCUGCUCUGACGGUGGCGGCGGACGGGUGGGUAACGCGUUGCUAACCUACCUCUACGACUGGGAUAACUUCUGGGCACCGGCGCUCCUCCCUGCUAAUCUCUUUAACCUCAUGGUUCCUUAGUGACAGACUGUUUUGCUUUCACUUCUCUAUGUUGCCGCGCCGCAUUAGCUAGAUUGUAAGGUAACGGCUUCCCAAGGCAACGAUGCGUAGCCGACCUGAGAAGGUGAUCGGCCAAACUGGAAAUGAGACACGGUCCAGACUCCUACGGGAGGCAGCAGUAGGGAAUCUUCCGCAAUGGGCGAAAGCAUGACGGAGCAACGACGCGUGAGUGAUGAAGGUCUUCGGAUCGUAAAACUCUGUUAUUAGGGAAGAACAAAUGUGUAAGUAACUAUGCACGUCUUGACGGUACCUAAUCAGAAAGCCACGGCUAACUAAGUG